rnacentral:snRNA from 1 species
AGCUUUGCACAGUGGCAAUAUUGUAGCCAAUGAGGUUUAUCUGAGGCAUGAUUAUUGCUAAUUGAAAACUUUUCCUGGGUGGUGCCUGUGGCUCAGAGGACUAGGGCGCUGGCCC